UCCUACCCAGCACACCGGAAACGCAAACCAAAUCAUAUUUUAAGCUUCUCGUAGUUUUGUUGGAUCAUCCUAUUACUUAAGCAAUAGGUUAAGAUCUGUUUGAAUGUUUUGCCGUGGUGAAAGGACAGGUUUUGAGAAGCUGGGACUAGAGAUGGGUCAGAGACACAUAUCCAAUUAAAGUUGGUAAAAGAUCGAAACAACUUUUACCAGAAUAUGCUGGUGUUUUCAGGAUUUUAGAUAUUUAGUCAAUAAGGCCAUGGAAAUAUUUGACAGGCAGCAAGCUUGUAUUAUACAGUUAUGUUGAAGUAUAGUUUAGCAGAGCCGCAGGAGGUAACCACCAGGAUCCUCUUUCUCGAUUAAGUCCUGUCUCUGACCGACUUCUAAUGGGAAGUGCUCCAUAGAAUUUUUCAUGAGUCGCCCACUUGCGAUUCAUGAAAAAUUCUUCCGCAACGGCAGUGUUAUGUAACGUUUGUCAUGGGAAUCAAUGUUUAUAAACGUAGGAUAAUGGUCAAAACAAAGACAUUAUAGUUAGUUGAUAGAAAAAUCAGACAUUCUGGCACCACGGCAGCACUAUCUGGACGCUAUCUUGCACCCGCAUAUCUCUUCGCACAAAGUCUACAUCACUUUUGGCGGAAAUCGUACAAGAGUAAAGUCUUUCUCACAAAGACAACCAAAACGCGAACAAGGCCAGUAAGCAAAGUCGCCAUCGUGAUAGUGACGCGCACCUGGGAAAAAACGUCGUGCGGAACUCAACAAGCAGAAGUAACCAAAAGACUGCGAAUCAAAUCGAAAAUCGUCGCAUGAUUUCUCAAGUCCGUAAACCGGAAAUCGCCGACCAACGCACGCUGUGAGUUUUGGCACGAGCACCACUCAGUUACGAAAGCCAUAUUGGAAAAUUACCAGGGUCCAUUCUAAAUACGGACAGUGGAUCGGAAAGUGACACAUCAAACGCACGUGAUCAUUUUAGCUUGAUUGGAUCCAUUAGCGCAAGCGGCAAUCAAGCAACACAUUCUCCUGGUUCGCCACGGGAGCCUUAUUCAGCUAAUAAGCCAAGCCGAGGGACCUAGAAAGAUUCAAACGGCGCCCAGCACACGCUUACGAGGAAGACGACUUUGAAGAUUAACAACGGAUCGGUACGAUCCCAUCUCGGAAGACAGCCCCGGAAAGGGGCCGUUUUCUCAGAUUUGCCUGAUCAGGAAGACGAUCUAUUAACGGAUUAGUCGGUCAUUACGGAAACGAGGACGAAGGUCAAGCGAGCGACUGGCAGCACGACAGAGAACGGCGGGAGGAGAACCUCUGUGCACCGGUAACACGUUGACGUCAUCAGGAGUCGAAGCCAAAGCUGUGGUGUGGAGCAUGAAAGCGGUGGUGAAGAGCACGGGUAGGAGGAAACCCGGGAUGGCAUGCUAAGGCGGGCGUGUUGCGGAUCCGUGAGUAGAAAUGAGAGACAAAGCCAGUUUAGAACAGCCAAGAAUGAAGGCGAGUGAUUAGUAUAGAGUAGGAGAUGUUUGAGGUAGUCAGCUGGGGACGAGUGUAAUGUAUGCAAAAUAUAUUGUAAUUUAAACACAUAAUAGUAUUUGUGGAUAUUGUUGGUUUGCGAUUUGUUCCAUGCUAGUCGGUGCUGCCUCCGCGAUCAUCUCACAUCGCAGGCAAACCUAUU